UUCAGUAGGCAGAGCUGAAUAUUUCUAGUUUACAUUGACUCCUGUUUCAGUAAAUGCUCUCACCCAGUGUUGAAAAGGGUGGAGUUCUUUUGGCCAAACAAACCAGACUUUCAGGAGACAGAAAGCUAAAAUGAGAAAGAAAUUUUGCCUGACAAAUUGAUUGUACGCCCUCUAAUUCUUGUGUCCAUGCUAUUCAUGGUUUCAAAGACUAAAUACUAUCAAACCUGGCAUCUCUCAUGUCUCUUUCAAG